GACCGCGUAGCUCAGUUGGAAGAGCAUUGGGCUAGCAUUCCAAAGGUAGUAGGUUCGAAUCCCACCGUGGCCG
rnacentral:tRNA from 1 species